rnacentral:rRNA from 1 species
GGGGUUAAUUUAAUAAAUAAUAAAUAUGAAAAAAAAUUUUAAUAUAAUAUAUUUAAUGGGGGUUAAAGUAUUUUUAUAGAAAAAAUUUUAAAAUUUAUAGUGAAAUAGUAUUGUGAAAGAAAAAUUGAAAAUAUUGAAAUAAAAAUUUAUUUAAAAGUAAAUUUUAUUUAUUGUAUCUUGUGUAUCAGAGUUUUUUAAAAAAAAAAAUUGGGUAAAUUUAUUUCGAAAUUUAAAGAGUUAAUUAAUUAAAAAAGUUAAUAUUGCAUAAUUAUUUUAAAUAAUUAAUUGGAAAUGAAAAGUUAAUCGUUUUGAAUGAUAUCUAAUUUUUUUAGAAAAAAGUUUAAUUUUAAAUAAAUUUUAAAAAUAAUUAAUUAAUUAAUUAUUUUUAAAAUUUAAUUUUAUAUUUUAGGGGAUAAGCUUUAAAUUAGAAUUUUAUAAUAAAAGUAAAAAAAAUUGAAAUUUUUAAAAUUUAUAUUUUUUAUAAAUUAUAGUUUAUUAUCAAUAAUUUCAUUUGAUUAAAAUUUUAUUUUAAUUUAAAUUUUUAUAAAAAAAUAUUUUUUAAUUUAAUAAAAAUAGGUAUAAUGAUAAAAUUAGUAUAUAAUUUAUAAAUAAAAUAAAAAUUAUUUAAAUUAAUAAAAAGGAAUUCGGCAAAAAU